rnacentral:rRNA from 1 species
AGUGAACGCUGGCGGUAGGCCUAACACAUGCAAGUCGAACGGCAGCACAGGAGAGCUUGCUCUCUGGGUGGCGAGUGGCGGACGGGUGAGGAAUACAUCGGAAUCUACUCUGUCGUGGGGGAUAACGUAGGGAAACUUACGCUAAUACCGCAUACGACCUACGGGUGAAAGCAGGGGACCUUCGGGCCUUGCGCGAUUGAAUGAGCCGGUGUCGGAUUAGCUAGUUGGCGGGGUAAAGGCCCACCAAGGCGACGAUCCGUAGCUGGUCUGAGAGGAUGAUCGGCCACACUGGACAGGGGACACGGUCCAGACUCCUACGGGAGGCAGCAGUGGGGAAUAUUGGACAAUGGGCGCAAGCCUGAUCCAGCCAUACCGCGUGGGUGAAGAAGGCCUUCGGGUUGUAAAGCCCUUUUGUUGGGAAAGAAAUCCAGCUGGCUAGUACCCGGUUGGGAUGACGGUACCCAAAGAAUAAGCACCGGCUAACUUCGUGCCAGCCGCCGCCGUAA